AUUGAACGCUGGCGGAAGGCCUAACACAUGCAAGUCGAACGAGCGGCGGACGGGUGAGUAAUGUCUGGGAAACUGCCCGAUGGAGGGGGAUAACUACUGGAAACGGUUGCUAAUACCGCAUACUAUCGGAUGUGCCCAGAUGGGAUUAGCUAGUAGGUGGGGUAAAGGCUCACCUAGGCGACGAUCCCUAGCUGGUCUGAGAGGAUGAUCAGCCACACUGGAACUGAGACACGGUCCAGACUCCUACGGAAGGCAGCAGUGGGGAAUAUUGCACAAUGGGCGCAAGCCUGAUGCAGCCAUGCCGCGUGUAUGAAGAAGGCCUUCGGGUUGUAAAGUACUUUCAGCGAGGAGGCGUUACUCGCAGAAGAAGCACCGGCUAACUCCGUGCCAGCAGCCGCGGUAAUUC
rnacentral:rRNA from 1 species